rnacentral:rRNA from 1 species
CACGUAGGGUGCGAGCGUUGUCCGGAAUUAUUGGGCGUAAAGAGCUCGUAGGCGGUCUGUCGCGUCUGCUGUGAAAACUCGGGGCUUAACCCCGGGCCUGCAGUGGGUACGGGCAGACUAGAGUGCGGUAGGGGAGACCGGAAUUCCUGGUGUAGCGGUGAAAUGCGCAGAUAUCAGGAGGAACACCGGUGGCGAAGGCGGGUCUCUGGGCCGUAACUGACGCUGAGGAGCGAAAGCGUGGGGAGCGAACAGG